rnacentral:rRNA from 1 species
UACGUAGGGUGCGAGCGUUGUCCGGAAUUAUUGGGCGUAAAGGGCUCGUAGGCGGUCUGUUGCGUCGGGAGUGAAAACUCAGGGCUUAACCCUGAGCCUGCUUCCGAUACGGGCAGACUAGAGGUAUGCAGGGGAGAACGGAAUUCCUGGUGUAGCGGUGAAAUGCGCAGAUAACAGGAGGAACACCGGUGGCGAAGGCGGUUCUCUGGGCAUUACCUGACGCUGAGGAGCGAAAGUGUGGGGAGCGAACAGG